UUUGACGUUACCUACAGAAGAAGCACCGGCUAACUCCGUGCCAGCAGCCGCGGUAAUACGGAGGGUGCGAGCGUUAAUCGGAAUUACUGGGCGUAAAGCGCAUGCAGGCGGCCUGUUAAGUCAGAUGUGAAAGACCCGGGGCGUUAACCUCGGAAUUGCAUUUGUAAACUAGGCAGGCUAGAGUCUUGUAGAGGGGGGUAGGAAUUUCAGGUGUAGCGGUGAAAUGCGUAGAGAUCUGAAGGAAUACCAGUGGCGAAGGCGGCCCCCUGGACAAAGACUGACGCUCAGAUGCGAAAGCGUGGGGAGCAAACAGGAUUAGAUACCCUGGUAG
rnacentral:rRNA from 1 species